rnacentral:lncRNA from 1 species
GGGUUUGAUUUGAGAAUGAAGGGAGUCUGAAAUCAGGACAAACAGACGAAGCUUUUGCACACGCCGAUGCGAUGGUUUCCUUCAAUGUCGAGUCUGGUAGAUUAUCGUGAAAAGUCGGAAUUUUCAAUGCACAGGUCAUUGACCGUGGGAUGUAAUUUUCAUUAUUUAGAGGCACAGCAGGUCUGAGCGUGGAUCUUAUAACAUCAUGGCAGGCUAUUCGGCGAUGGAGUUUGUCCCGGUAGAUAAGAGAGUUGUCGCCGGCAUUGCUUUUCUAUUGCUUGCAUUGGCAUCCCGGUCCUUAGGCUCGGAUAGUAUCGACGAACUUUUGAAAAAGCACCCCACUUGGUCGUUUGAGGUGGAGAAUGUUGAAACCUUCAUCCAGAAAUCUCUACGCGAGCAUUCGCUGAGAGGGCUCAGCCGUGAAUUAACGGAGAAAAUCUUGCGAGACAAAGUGAGGAGAAGUUUACAUCCCGGAGCCACUCACAUUGUGAGGAAAAUCGGUGACCCAAAAUGGGAAACUGACCCAUCAAAAGUUCCCUCCGAAUUCGAUGUGAGACAGAAGUGGAAGGAUUGCGCUCCACUCAUCGAAGAGGUUGAAGAUGAAGGCCCAUGCCGCACAGACACGGUAGGUCUACAAUUCGAAUACUGCCGUACUAAGCAAGAACGCCGUAAAUCCAUCAAGAUUUUCCCUCGUUUUUUGGAACUUAACACUUUAUAAAAUAAAAACUGUUUUACCCAUGCUCCUUAAAUUUUCAGGUUAAGUUCUUGAUAGUAUCUGCAAGAGAAUUCUGUAAAAAUAUUCAUCCAAGGUACACAAGUUUUUCUACUAUGACACAUUGUUUCCAAAAAAAUGUAAGAUGUUGUUUACAGCGUUUUGCGUUGCACGGCAGAAUAGAGGUGUCGUCAGGUACGUUAACGACUAAUUUGGGCCACUGCACAAAGCGGCGUCCGCUACUCUCCACCUUGAAAACACUCGUCUCAUGAUCGUAUCGUAAAAAAAACAAUUUAUCAGUUUUGAGUCGUGACUUUUAUGUGGUUGUGAUUUCUGUGUGGCCAAAAACUAAAGUGUUACAAGGUUUGAAAGUAUUAAAAAACUUAUCCAAGCUUGUGUUCUUGCUUCUGCGGGAGUCGAAUGUUUUCAUGUGGAUAAUUGUGACGCGAAAAUGCUUGCAAACCGAAAGUAAGCUUCCAGGACUUUAUGUCCACCUACCUUUCGUCCAUUAAAUAAAUGUCCACCGCUAUGAAUGUCCACUAAACGUUAAGUCCAGUCUUUAUUAAGCCCAAAUGAUUUAAUGUCCAACCAUGAAUAUGCCCAAA